UAUUUGCCAUUGCACAUGCAGCGGUAGACGAUGGGGCACGACUCCACUGCGCACUUGUUGAAGCUCACCAUCACCCUACGGCAAGGCCGGCACGCCCCACAAGCGUGCGAGCAGUCCGGCAGGCUCGACCCCGUCGGGUGUGGAGAAAAUAUACGUACCUUAACAUGUUGGUUUUCUACAUCCUUGUAGUUGGUGCCUCUACUGUGGUGGGUAACUGUAAAUUAAACCAACAGCGACGAUAUAUGAGUUCAUUUCACACAAUGUGUAAUAAAUUUAACAAUGAAGAUAUGAAUAUAUAAGUUGUUACAAUGAU